GCCCCAUAUGCAGUGUCCCGCCCCUUUGGUGAUUCUGCACCUCACCUUGCAAUCCGAACUUCAGAACCAGAGUAACUGUAGGAUAACAAACAGACAAACAACAAGUGGCGCUGACCUGGGGCUCGUGUCCGAAGAUGAUAAUGAAUACUGA
rnacentral:lncRNA from 1 species